rnacentral:rRNA from 1 species
UACGGAGGAUGCAAGCGUUAUCCGGAAUGAUUGGCGUAAAGGGUCCGCAGGUGGCAAUGUAAGUCUGCUGUCAAGAAUGAGGCUUAACCUCAUCAGCAGUGAACUACAUAGCUAGAGUACGUCGGGUAGAAGAUCUGUGUAGCGUGAAUGCGUAGAGAUCAGGAGAACACGUGGCGAAGCGUCUGCUAGACUGUACUGACACUGAGGACGAAGCUAGGGGAGCGAAUGG